rnacentral:rRNA from 1 species
AGAAGCUUGCUNNNNNGAUGUUAGCGGCGGACGGGUGAGUAACACGUGGNUAACCUACCUAUNAGACUGGGAUAACUUCGGGAAACCGGAGCUAAUACCGGAUAAUAUUUUGAACCGCAUGGUUCAAAAGUGAAAGACGGUCUUGCUGUCACUUAUAGAUGGAUCCGCGCUGCAUUAGCUAGUUGGUAAGGUAACGGCUUACCAAGGCAACGAUGCAUAGCCGACCUGAGAGGGUGAUCGGCCANACUGGAACUGAGACACGGUCCAGACUCCUACGGGAGGCAGCAGUAGGGAAUCUUCCGNAAUGGGCGANAGCCUGACGGAGCAACGCCGCGUGAGUGAUGAAGGUCUUCGGAUCGUAAAACUCUGUUAUUAGGGAAGAACAUAUGUGUAAGUAACUGUGCACAUCUUGACGGUACCUAAUCAGAAAGCCACGGCUAACUACGUGCCAGCAGCCGCGGUAAUACGUAGGUGGCAAGCGUUAUCCGGAAUUAUUGGGCGUANAGCGCGCGUAGGCGGUUUUUUAAGUCUGAUGUGAAAGCCCNCGGCUCAACCGUGGAGGGUCAUUGGAAACUGGAAAACUUGAGUGCAGAAGAGGAAAGUGGAAUUCCAUGUGNAGCGGUGAAAUGCGCAGAGAUAUGGAGGAACACCAGUGGCGAANGCGACUUUCUGGUCUGUAACUGACGCUGAUGUGCGAAAGCGUGGGGAUCAAACAGGAUUAGAUACCCUGGUAGUCCACGCCGUAAACGAUGAGUGCUAAGUGUUAGGGGGUUUCCGCCCCUUAGUGCUGCAGCUAACGCAUUAAGCACUCCGCCUGGGGAGUACGACCGCAAG